rnacentral:rRNA from 1 species
UGGGGAAUAUUGCGCAAUGGAGGCAACUCUGAUGCAGCAACGCCGCGUGCGGGAAGACAGCCCUAGGGUUGUAAACCGCUUUCAGCAGGGAAGAAACUGACGGUACCUGCAGAAGAAGAUGCGGCCAACUACGUGCCAGCAGCCGCGGUGACACGUAGGCAUCAAGCGUUAUCCGGAUUUAUUGGGCGUAAAGAGCUCGUAGGCGGUUCGGUAAGUCGGGUGUGAAAACUCUGGGCUCAACCCAGAGAGGCCACUCGAUACUGCUGUGACUUGAGUACGGUAGGGGAGCGGGGAAUUCCUGGUGUAGCGGUGAAAUGCGCAGAUAUCAGGAGGAACACCAGUGGCGAAGGCGGCUCACUGGCUCGAUACUGACGCUGAGGUGCGAAAAGCGUGGGGAGCAAAACAGGAUUAGAUACCCUGGUAGUCCACGCCGUAAACGAUGAAUGUUAGCCGUCGGCAGUAUACUGUUCGGUGGCGCAGCUAACGCAUUAAACAUUCCGCCU